rnacentral:rRNA from 1 species
UGGGGAAUUUUGGACAAUGGAGGGACCUCUGAUCCAGCAAUUCUGUGUGUGUGAAGAAGGUUUUAGGACUGUAAAACACUUUUAGUGGGGAAGAAAAAAAUGACGUUACUUACAGAAGAAGCAACGGCUAAAUACAUGCCAGCAGCCGCGGUAAUACGAAUGUUGCGAGCGUUAUCCGGAAUUAUUGGGCUUAAAGGGCAUCUAGGCGGUAAGACAAGUUGAAGGUGAAAACCUGUGGCUCAACCAUAGGCUUGCCUACAAAACUGUUGAACUAGAGUACUGGAAAGGUGGGUGGAACUACACGAGUAGAGGUGAAAUUCGUAGAUAUGUGUAGGAAUGCCGAUGAUGAAGAUAACUCACUGGACAGAAACUGACGCUGAAGUGCGAAAGCUAGGGGAGCAAACAGG